ensembl:ncRNA C53C9.5 ncRNA
AAGUUCUCAAAGUGAAAGUUCUUGUGGUUUUUGUUGAGGGCUCACGAAGCGGGAUUUAUGAUUGAAUGAGCGCGUCG